UAGAACAGGAAUUGUAGGUUUUUAUUGUUUAAUGUCUUAGUUUCUCCAUCUAUGGAGACUGAAAAUUUUGCUGGGUAUAAUAGUGGUCUAAGCUAGGAUCUGUAGUCUCAUAUAGUUUAUAUAUAGUACAUGUGCCUAUCACAUCACCUUCUGGCUUUUAGUGUCUCAUUUGAAAAGUCGGGUGUAAUUCCAAUAAAUCUUCCUUUAUAUGUUAUUUGGCCAUUUUCUUUGCAGCUUUUAAUAUUUCUUGUUGUUGCUCUGUAUUUUUAGUGUUUUAAUUAAUUUUGGAUUUUUUAACAUCUUUUUUCCUUUUUUUAUUGAAUAUUUAUUUGCAUUUUAAAUAUUCCCUUUCCCGGUUUUGCCUCCACAAACCCCUUAUCGAAUACCCUUCCCCCUUAUUCUAUGAGGGUGCUCCCCUAACUGCACACAUACUUCCACCUCAUCACCCUAGCAUUCCUCUACACUGGAGCCUUCACAGGACCAAGGGCCUGACCUCGCAUUGAUGCUAGAUAAGGCCAUCCUCUGCUACAUAUAGAGCUACAGCCAUGGGUCCUUCCAUGUGUACUCUUUGGUUGAUGUGUUAGUUCCUUGGAGCUCUGCGGGGGGUUGGGGGGUGUCUCUUUGAUUGAUAUUGUUGUUCUUCCUAUGGGGUUGCAAACCCCUUCAGCUCCUUCAGCCCUUCUCCUAACUCCUCUAUUGGGGUCCCCAUGCUCAGUCCAGUGGUUGGCUGCGAGCAUCCACCUCUGUAUUUGUCAGGCUGUGGCAGAGCCUCUCAGGAGACAGCUAUAUCAGACUCCUCUCAGCAAGUACUUAUUGGCAUCUGCAGUAGUGUUUGGGUUUGGUGGCUGCAUAUGGGAUGGAUCCCAUUUGGGACAGUCUCUGAAUGGCCUUUCCUCCAGUUUCUGCUCCAUUCUUUGUCCCUGUGUUUCUUUUAGACAGGAGCAAUUCUGGGUUAAAAAUUUGGAGAUGGGAAGAUGACCCCAUCCCUCAAUCUGGGCCAUGGCUAACCUCUGGAUAUGAUCUCUCUACAGAUUCUCUCUCCCCUUUUCUGAGUAUUUCAGCUGAUGCCUUCCCUAUUAGGAACUGAUAGGCUCUUGCUUUCCUUGCUUCUUGGAAUUUCACGUGGCUGCCCCAAGAUGUUCAUCCCCCAUUGCUACACACCUCUGUUCAAUUUCCUGACCUUCUAUACAUUUCCUCCAUCUCCUUCCAUACCUGAUCCUGCCCCCUCUUUUUCCCCCUCCACUUCCUCUCUUCCUUCCAAGUCCCUCCCACCCUCUACCUCUUGUGAUUAUUUUGUUCACCCUUCUAAGUAGGACUGAAGCAUCCACACUUUGGGCUUCCCUCUUCUUGAGCUUCAUAUGGUCUGUGAAUUGUAUCGUGGGUAUUCCGAGCUUUUUGAGUAAUAUCCACUUAUCAGUGAGUAUAUACUAUGUAUGUUCUUUUGUGACUGUGUUACUUACCUCAUUCAAGAUGAUAUUUUCUAGUUCCUAGGAAAGGCAUUUUGUUUUCUGGUCCAAUCCAUUUGGUGUUUUCUGUGCUUCAUAAACCUUUCUAGGCAUCUCCUCCUUUAGGUUAUAAAAAUUUUCAUGUUUGAUUUUAUUUAAAACAUUUUUUGGACCUUUGAGCUGGAAUUCUUGUAUUCCUAUUAUUUUUAGAUUUAGUGUUCCCAGAUUUCCUAGAUGUUUUUUAUCAGGAGCUUUUUAGAUUUAACAUUUUCUUUGACUGAUGUAUCCAUUUUGUUUUUUGUUUCUUAAUAGUAUCUUCAAUGCCUGAGAUUCUCAUGUCCAUCUCUUGCAUUCUCUUAAUGAUGCUUGUCUCUGUAGUUCUUGUUGGAAUUCCUAAAAUUUUCACUUGUGGAUUUCCCUCAGUUUAGACUUUGUUUAUUUAAUCUACUUCCAUCUUCAGGUCUUGAACAGCUUUAUUCAUGUCCUUGUACUGUUUUUUUUUUGUGUUUUCCUGGAUUUCUUUUUGUAUUAAUUCAUUUCUUCACAAGAUUUGCUUGUUUUCCUGAUUUUCGGUAAGGAAUUUAUUUUUCUUUAGGACUGCUAUUAUAUUCAUAUAGGUUGUUUUAAGGGUUUUGGGGGAUGGAGGUUGUCUUUAGCUAUGUUGGAAUAUUUAGGGUCUGUUGAAAUAGGGUUGCUGGGCUCCAGUGGAAACAUACUGUCCUGGCUGUUGGUUGUAUUCAGUUGGCAUCUAGGCAUAUGUUUCCCUAGGCUUACUCAGCUGGUGUUUAACGUGUAUUUUUACCAAUGCUUUUAAAUAUUUGUCUCCCUAACAGUUACCUAUCAUGAAUAACAUAUCAAUUAAUAUCUGAAUGUGAUAAUUCUCCAACUAAUUCUAAAAGCUAUAAUUUGUACAUCAUGAUCCCAUAAUGAAAUCCAAAAGACAUGCAUUUGAGAAAUCAAAUACCUGAUACAGAGUUUUAGUCAACAUUUAUAAAUAGUUCCUAAAAAGGAAUAAUAACUAUCCUAACCAAAAAGUUGGAAAAGGUUUUAAAUAAUUAGAUGUACAACACAGUUUUUAUAUAAGUGUGUGUGUGUGUGUGUUCCUAUAUGUACAUGUAUAUGUGUGUCACAGAGGCGUGGAAGGGUGUUGGAUUUCCUGAAACUGGAAUUGUAAGUGGUAUGUGACGGGAAACAAACUCUGGUUCUUAACAGCAAGUGCUCUUAAUUGUUGAGCCAUCUUUUCGACCCCUCUAUAGAAGUUUUAAAACAGCAAAGAAACACAAUCAACAUUGGUAGAGGAAUGGCAAUUAAAACCAUAAUACAAUUUCACAUUCACCAAGUCUUUACAAUUAAAAGAUAGUAACAACUAUUCAUGAAGAUGUAGAGGAACUGGAAUUCUCAAAUAUAAGUGUUGGAAAUAUAGCUUCUCAAAAUUUCUAAAAUUAUUGGAUAUAAUGUUACUUAAUAGUUCUACUGCUGCAUAGUUAUAGAAAGCGAGACAACUUUUCACUAAAAGCACCUUAUACAUAGCAUUAUAGAAGCAUUAUUCAAUGAUGAUGAUGAUAAUGACAAUGACAACGAUGACUACAAUGGCAAAAACCCAAAUUUCAACAAAUUAUUAUCAACCAAAUAUUAUCUGUGCAAAUUUGGAAUAUUGUCAGUGAAAGAAAUGAAGUGAAGACAUAUGUCACAGCACAGAUUAACCUCAAAAUAUAAGUGAAAUGAAUUAGAACCAAAAGGCCUCAUUUAUAUGAUUCUUUUUUAAAAAGUUUUCUUUGUAAACUUAUAUGUACAGGGUUCUGACUACACAUGUGUCUUUGUAUCACAUGUGAACAUUGCUCAUGGAUGUCAGCAGCAGGCAUUGAAUCCUGGGGAACUACAGUUACAAAUGGAUUUGAGCCCCCAUGUGGGGGUCCUCCGAAAGAGCAGUAGCAAGAGCUCUUAACUGCUAACCAAUGUCCCAAGCCCUGAUAUUACAUAAUUCUUAAUGAAAUAUCUACAUAGGCAAAUAUUUAUUCAAAAACAGUAUCUUAAAUUAUUGGAUAGUUGGGAACAGGUUGGGUCAUUGGGGAGAAAACUACUGUUAUUAGUUGUUAUUGAAGAUUAAUUUUUAUUGGAUGUGUAUGUGUGUGCCUGUAUAUAUAUAUAUAUAUACACACACAAUAUGUGUGCAGGUGUUCACACCGACCAGAAAGAGAGAAUCAAGUCCCCUGGUGCUGGAGGUAGAGGUAGGGGUGGUGAGCCACUGAUGUGGAUGCUGAAAAACAUAUUUAUAUUCUCUGCAAGAGCACCAAGCACCCUUGAGCACUGAGCUAUAUUUUCAGCCCCUUGACACAGUUUUUUAAAAUUAAUGAAUUUUUAACUUUGAAUUGGGUGACAGAAUAUACGCUACACUUGAAUAAAGGUUUGAAAAAUAAUUUAAGCUUCAUCUUAAUAUUACAGAAGAUGCUGAGUGUUGCUUUAUUGGUAAAAUUUGUCUAAAAUGGUCAGCACAGUUUUGUGUGCUAAAAAAUAUACUAUAGAAAUUAGUUUUUAAUUCAGUUUGAAACCCUGGGAAGAUUGCUGAAAUACUCUUUGCCUCAUAUUCAAAACUGGCAUAAAAAAUAACAUUAUCAUGCUCCUUCGAGAAUAGAAUGAAACAUUUUCACUGUUUGUAACAGAAUAAGGUACACUUAAAUCACGAUUUUCUGAAAGAGAAAUUAACAAAUGGUUUCUCUACUUAUCUAUUUUAACUACUUGUCUAUUUUAUUUUGCUUUUUGAGUCCUACUUCAUUGCCCAAGUUGAGCUUGAAUUCAGUAUCUUCAUACCUUCACUUUCUGAGUGAUGAGUUUACAAGUGUGUUUUAUCCUUGUUAACAAUUAGAGAGCUUAAGUGUUAAUAGUAAAUGCCAAAAAAACAAACAAACAAACAAACAAAUCACCAGUUCAAGUGUGAGAUCAGGUGCUUAAAAGCAAGAAUGAUUUCCAUAAUGCAAAGUUCCCAGUGGAUGAAGUACAACUUACUUUCUGUAAGCAAGAAAGAAACAGUUCUAGGGCAUUGACUGACUAUGAAAGUAAAAAAGAAGCAUGGAUGAUAAACCUAUCUGAACCCAACUGUAUCUCAAAGGGCAAGAAAACGUAAGCUCCCAACUGUGUAUUAGAAGCAAACUCCCAAAGAAGUCAUAGACUAGAAUAGGGCAGCGUUCUACAUGCUCAAGGAUUCUGCUCUAAUGGAGCAUCAGGUAGAUCUGGAUCCUUGAACACUCACUAGAUGACUGAGGUUGAGAGCUGGUAGCAGAACUUGGGCUUCUUAGGAUUUCUGAACCUAGAUUGAAAGUUGUUUUCUUUUUCCAAAUUCAGGAAUAGAGACUGACAAUCUGUAAGUAGAAUAUAAUGAGAAACAAAUUUAAGGGAAUGACAAAGUACACGAUGAUAACAAACAUUGAAAACUGCACCUUUUUUUUUAAUUAGGUAUUUCAUUUACAUUUCCAAUGCUAUCCCAAAAGUCCCCCACCCACUCACUCCCACUUCUUGGCCCUGGUGUUCCCCUGUACUGGGGCAUAUAAAGUUUGCGUGUCCAAUGGGCCUCUCUUUCCACUGAUGGCCAACUAGGCCAUCUUCUGAUACAUAUGCAGCUAGAGACACAAGCUCUGGGGUGUACUGGUUAGUUCAUAAUGUUGUUCCAACUACAGGGUUGCAGUUCACUUUAGCUCCUUGGGCACUUUAUCUAGCUCCUCCAUUGGGGGCCCUGUGAUCCAUCCAAUAGCUGACUGUGAGCAUCCACUUCUAUGCUUGCUAGGCCCUGGCAUAGUCUCACAAGAGACAGCUAUAAAACUGCACAUUUUUAAAAAGUAUCACUUAAAACUAUUUUUAAGAAGUACUAAAAACCAUGAUUUGCAAAGAAGUUCAUGUCAUCUUCCUUCAUACUUAUUGUGUACCAUGUUAAAGCUCUGUGACAAUGUUCACUUUGCAGCAAGUAGAAACAAUUUAGUACAAAAUUUCUUAACCAUUUUGGAAAGUUAUUUUUAGAAAAGUUAGUGAAUGAUAUACUUACCAUUUGGUAUAAUUUUUAAAAAUGAAGAAUAGCUGCUCAGUCGGUGGAGGCACACAUCCUUACUCCCAGCACUUGAGAGACAGAGGCAGGCAGACCUCUGUGAGUUCUGGGACAGCCAUGGUGAAACCCUAUGGGGGAGGAGGGAUGGGAUGAAGAAGUGUGGGAGGGGGGACCGGGGGAGAGGCAAUGACUGGAAUGUAAAUAAAUAAAAUACUUUUUUUUUUAUAAAAAGAAAAAACCCACUGAUCUAAGCAUAUUAAGUUAGAGUAAUAAGUUAUAAGAAAACUGCAGCCAGCUGUUU
rnacentral:lncRNA from 1 species